UGGACCACUACAUUUUCUACAGAGCUUUUUCGGCUGAAGUUCCUCGUUUGUAGAUUUUUGAAAGGAGGUAUGUGUUGCUGCUCUAAUGAAGAACUCGAGGUCCUUUCCAACCCUUAUCACAGACAAAUUCCCAGAAUUCUCUUUUUCAGCCUUCUUGGUAUAACGUACUUCUUCCUCGCACCCCUUAUUUUGUAUCUGAUCACUCUCUCCCAAUAACUACACUGUGUGCAGGAGGAUGCUACUCCAAAAAGGAAAUUGAUGAAGUAAGGAUAGAGUGGGCAGAAUUUGUAUGUAAAAUCACAGAUGAGUGAUGAUGGAUGGUGUAACUUGCUUGUUUUCGGUGUUUGCAGUUAUGUUUCAAUUAGUAGGAUGAUGAUGUUUGGAUUCUAAUGUAAUGUAGGAUGAUGAUGUUUGGAUUCUAAUGUAAUGUAGGUAUGAUGAUGUUGGAUUCUAAUGUAAUGUAUGGAUGAUGAUGUUGGAUUAUAAUCUAUGAAUUUUAUUAUUAAUUUAUGUAUUUUUAGCUUUU